rnacentral:lncRNA from 1 species
AAGUGCCUAAAAACCGAAUUUUAAGCAAACCCAAUUAGAGAUUCAGCUGACCUAUCCCUGGCAUUUAUACAAAUGGGUUACAUGGUCAACAAUAAAGGAAAGUUGGUGCAAAUUGCAGACCUUUUCUUUGGUAGCUUCUUCCUUUUUCGAAAUAAAUUUGCUCCUUCGGCGAAAUGGCUGGGGUGGCUCCAAUGUCAUUCCCAAAUUGUUGCUUCCCUCAAACUGCGGUGUAACAAUUAACAAGAGAAGACAAACCAGUACCCAAGGUCUCGACAUCAUUAAAUGCAGCCUUUUUCACAUAAUCUGCUCUAAACCCAGAAACGGAAAAGAAAAAGAAAAAGAAAAGGAAAAAAAAAACAAAAGAAAUGAGCGAGCAUCAGCUUCGCUUAUAGGUUCAGUAAUCAGGGAAGUCAUAGCUCAGACCACAGACCUCAUCUGUCGGGGUCGGUUGUCGUUUGACUCAGUUUGGGUGUCAUUCUGAAGGAACUGCCGAUCGAUACCAUGCGAUCUCUCCUCUAUUAUUUACGUGUAUAAUUUUUAUCAUGAAUAAUAUUAUAACUAUUUUAAUUAUUAUUUAUGGUAUUUUUAAUUUAUAUAUUAUAUAUUGUAAUUUUAAUUAUUAAUUAGUGUAAAAAUUAUAAUUUUAUAAAAUUAUAAUUAAUAAAUUAUAAAAAAAUAAUAUGAUUUAAAUAAAAUUCUCAAAAUUUCAUAUUACUCGCUAAAAAAUCGAAAUUGAUCUACCAAAAGAAG